rnacentral:tRNA from 1 species
GGUCGCAUAGCUCAGCUGGAUAGAGCGCUGGCCUCCGAAGCCAGAGGUCCCAGGUUCGAAUCCUGGUGCGACCGCCA